AGUGAACGUUGGCGGCGUGGAUUGGACAUGCAAGUCGAGCGAGAACCGUAGCAAUACGGGGACAGCGGCGAAAGGGACAGUAAUGUGUAGGUACCUACCCCGAGGUCUGGGAUAGCUGCGGGAAACUGCAGGUAAUACCGGAUAAUGUCUUCGGACCAAAGGUGUGAUUCCACCUUGGGAGGGGCCUGCAUCCUAUUAGCUAGUUGGCGGGGUAAUGGCCCACCAAGGCAACGAUGGGUAGCGGGUGUGAGAGCACGACCCGCGUCAUUGGGACUGAGACAAUGCCCAGACACCUACGGGUGGCUGCAGUCGAGGAUCUUCGGCAAUGGGCGAAAGCCUGACCGAGCGACGCCGCGUGCGGGAUGAAGGCCUUCGGGUUGUAAACCGCUGUCGUAGAGGAGGAAAUGCAGGGGGGUUCUCCCUUCUGUUUGACCUAUUCUAGGAGGAAGUACGGGCUAAGUUCGUGCCAGCCGCCGCCGUAA
rnacentral:rRNA from 1 species